UGUUGACCUCGAAUCAGGUAGGAAUACCCGCUGAACUUAAGCAUAUCAAUAAGCGGAGGA
rnacentral:rRNA from 3 species